rnacentral:rRNA from 1 species
GAUGAACGCUGGCGGCGUGCUUAACACAUGCAAGUCGAACGGAGUACCCCUGAAGGAGUUUUCGGACAACUGAUGGGACUACUUAGUGGCGGACGGGUGAGUAACGCGUGAGUAACCUGCCUUGGAGUGGGGAAUAACAGCUGGAAACAGCUGCUAAUACCGCAUAAUAUGUCUGUGUCGCAUGGCACUGGACAUCAAAGAUUUAUCGCUCUGAGAUGGACUCGCGUCUGAUUAGCUAGUUGGCGGGGUAACGGCCCACCAAGGCGACGAUCAGUAGCCGGACUGAGAGGUUGGCCGGCCACAUUGGGACUGAGACACGGCCCAG